CCGAAAGGUUCUACUAACUAUCAAUUUGGUGGAAACGAGACCCAAAUGAAUCCACCUUGCGAACAACGCGGUUCGAAACCCUGCAAUUCUUUUUUAUUUUUUUUGAUAUUUUUCUUUUACUUAGGAGUACUCAAGAAGUAACCACACGAAAUUUGAGCUUAAAAAAGUGAAAGACGUGGCCUGUGGAAUUUUUUGAAGAUUGCAAAAAAUAUAAAAAACUUUAGGAGGUGAAAACUCAAAAUUCAGGGGCGAAUUUGGGGAUUCUAAAAUUAUCAAACCCACCUCUAGCGGAGAUAGACAGAUCCAAAAAUUUGUUCUGAUCGAUUUUGAUAUAUGGAACGUCAAAAUCGGAGUUCGUAUGCGAAAGUUAUGGCUGUUUUACGAACGGACUCCGAAUUAGAGGACAAAACGGUCCGGAAGUGGGAAAAAUUUGUGGUGGUGGCUAGAAAUUGAUGGAAACGGUGGGAAAAAACAUACAAACUGGACUCUAACAAGACCAAAUCAGUAACAAGACCUUGACUAGGACACAAACUCAACACUACGGACUCUGAAACUGAAAUAUGCAAAGGUUAUGGCGCAGAUGGAUUGUAGGACAUGAAAACAAUUUGACACUAGACUUAUGGGACGAACACAAGGACACUCGAAACUAAGGGUACAUGUGAACCUAACGGUACGUCUGAAGCUUUGAUUACCACUUGAGGAGAACAAGGCCCGAUCUUCCGAAAGGUUCUGGUAACUAUCGAUUUGGUGGAAACGAGGCACAAAUCAAUCCAGUUUGCGAACAACACGAUUCGAAACCCUGCAAUUCUUUUUUUUAUAUAUUUUUCUUUUACUUAGGAGCACUGAAGAAGUAACCACAAGAAAUUUGAGCUUAAACAAGUGAAGGACAUGGCCUGUGGAAUUUUUUGAAGAUUGUGAAAAAUAUGAAAAUAAAGAUUAGGAGGUGAAAACUCAAAUUUUCAGAGGCGAGUUAGGGAAUUCUAAAUUUGUCGCACCCGCCUAUGGCGGGGAUAGACAAAUCCAAAAUUUUUUCUGAUCGAUUUUGAUAUAUGGAACGUCAAAAUCGGAGUUCGUAGGCGAAAGUUAUGGCUGUUUUACGAACCGACUCUGAAUUAGAGGACAAAACGGUCCGGAAGUGGGAAAAAUUUGCGGUGGUGGCUAUAAAUUGAUGGAAACGGUGGGAAGAAACACACAAAUUGGACUCUAACAAGACCUAACCAGUAACAAGAUCUCGACCAGGACACAAACUCAACACUACGGACUCUAAAACUGAAAUAUGCAAAGGCUAUGGCGCAGAUGGGUUGUAGGACAUGAAAACAAUAUAGCACUAGACUUAUGGGACGAACACAAGGACACUCGAAACUAAGGAUAGAUGUGAACCUAACGGUACGUCUGAAGCUUUGAUUAACACUUGAGGAGAACAAGUGUGGCCCGAUCUUUCGAAAGGUUCUAGUAACUAUCAAUUUGGUGGAAACGAGAUCCAAAUCAAUCCAUCUUGCGAAGAACGCGGUUCGAAACCCUGCAAUUCUUUUUUUUUGAUAUUUUUCUUUUACUUGGGAGCACUGAAGAAGUAACCACAGGAAAUUUGAGCUUAAACAAGUGAAAGACUUGGCCUGUGGAAUUUUUUGAAUAUUGCGAAAAAUAUAAAAAAACUUUAGGAGGUGAAAACUCAAACUUCAGGGGUGAAUUUGGGGAUUCUAAAAUUAACGAACCCACCUCUAGCGGAGAUAGACAGAUCCAAAAAUUUCUUCUCAUCGAUUUUGAUAUAUGGAACGUCAAAAUCGGAGUUCGUAUGCGAAAGUUAUGGCUGUUUUAGGAACGGACUCCGAAUUAGAGGACAAAACGGUCCGGAAGUGGGAAAAAUUUGUGGUGGUGGCUAGAAAUUGAUGGAAACGGUGGGAAAAAACACGCAAACUGGACUCUAACAAGACCAAAUCAGUAACAAGACCUUGACCAGGACACAAACUCAACAUUACGGACUCUGAAACUGAAAUAUGCAAAGGUUAUGGCGCGGAUGGGUUGUAGGACAUGAAAACAAUUUGGCACUAGACUUAUGGGACGAACACAAGGACACUCGAAACUAAGGGUAGAUGUGAACCUAACGGUACGUCUGAAGCUUUGAUUACCACUUGAGGAGAACAAGGCCCGAUCUUCCGAAAGGUUCUGGUAACUAUCGAUUUGGUGGAAACGAGACACAAAUCAAUCCAGUUUGCUAACAACACGAUUCGAAACCCUGCAAUUCUUUUUUUUUAUAUAUUUUUCUUUUACUUAGGAGCACUGAAGAAGUAACCACAAGAAAUUUGAGCUUAAACAAGUGAAGGACAUGGCUUGUGGAAUUUUUUGAAGAUUGCGAAAAAUAUGAAAAUAAUGUUUAGGAGGUGAAUACUCAAAUUUUCAGAGGCGAGUUUGGGAAUUCGAAAUAUGUCGCACCCGCCUAUGGCGGGGAUAGACAGAUCCACAAAAUUUUCUGAUCGAUUUUGAUAUAUGGAACGUCAAAAUCGGAGUUCGUAGGCGAAAGUUAUGGCUGUUUUACGAACGGACUCUGAAUUAGAGGACAAAACGGUCCGGAAGUGGGAAAAUUUUGCGGUGGUGGCUACAAAUUGAUAGAAACGGUGGGAAGAAACACACAAAUUGGACUCUAACAAGACCUAGCCAGUAACAAGAUCUCGACCAGGACACAAACUCAACACUACGGACUCUGAACUGAAAUAUGGAAAGGCUAUGGCGCGGAUGGGUUGUAGGACAUGAAAACAAUAUAGCACUAGACUUUUGGGACAAACACAAGGACACUCGAAACUAAGGAUAGAUGUGAACCUAACGGUACAUCUGAAGCUUUGAUUAACACUUGAGGAGAACAAGUGUGGCCCGAUCUUCCGAAAGGUUCUACUAACUAUCAAUUUGGUGGAAACGAGACCCAAAUCAAUCCACCUUGCGAACAACGCGGUUCGAAACCCUGCAAUUCUUUUUUAUUUUUUUUUGAUAUUUUUCUUUUACUUAGGAGCACUCAAGAAGUAACCACACGAAAUUUGAGCUUAAAAAAGUGAAAGACGUGGCCUGUGGAAUUUUUUGAAGAUUGCAAAAAAUAUAAAAAAAACUUUAGGAGGUGAAAACUCAAAAUUCAGGGGCGAAUUUGGGGAUUCUAAAAUUAUCGAACCC
rnacentral:lncRNA from 1 species